rnacentral:misc_RNA from 1 species
GGAAGGAUCAUUAUCGUAAAACUGAGGUGCGAGGGCUGUCGCUGGCCUUUCAAAAAGGUCGUGCACGCCCGAGUGCUUUCACAUCCAUCUCACCCCUUUGUGCACCAUCGCGUGGGCCCUCCUUUUGGCUUGUUUCAAGGGGAGUGGCUUGCGUUUUCACACAAACAUCCCUUUAAUGCAGUGUAGUAGAAUGUAUGCGUUGACUCGCAAUCAAUACAACUUUCAACAACGGAUCUCUUGGCUCUCGCAUCGAUGAAGAACGCAGCGAAAUGCGAUACGUAAUGUGAAUUGCAGAAUUCAGUGAAUCAUCGAAUCUUUGAACGCACCUUGCGCCCCUUGGCAUUCCGAGGGGCACACCCGUUUGAGUGUCGUGAUGUCCUCAAGAGCCUUUCUUUGAUCUCUCGAUCGGGGAGAGUCUUUUGGAUUUUGGAGGUCUUUGCUGGCUUCACUUGAAUGUCAGCUCCUCCUAAAUGGAUUAGUGGGGUCCGCUUUGCAGGUCCUUGACGCGAUAAGAUGUUUCUGUGUCUUGGGCAUUGCUUUGCUUUUUAAGAUCCUGCUUCUAAAACAUGUUCGAAUUCUCUCCCUUCACGGGGAAGGAACUACGACCCACGAAUGAACCCUUGACCUCAAAUCGGGUGAGACUACCCGCUGAACUUAAGCAUAUCAAUAAGCGGAGGAAAAGAAACUAACAAGGAUUCCCCUAGUAACUGCGAGUGAAGCGGGAAAAGCUCAAAUUUAAAAUCUGGUGGCCUUUGGCCAUCCGAGUUGUAAUCUAGAGAAGCGUCUUCCGCGCUGAACCGUGCACAAGUCUCCUGGAAUGGAGCCUCAUAGAGGGUGAGAAUCCCGUCUUUGGCACGGAUGCAUCAGGGCUUUGUGAUGCGCUCUCGAAGAGUCGAGUUGUUUGGGAAUGCAGCUCAAAAUGGGUGGUGAACUCCAUCUAAAGCUAAAUAUUGGCGAGAGACCGAUAGCGAACAAGUACCGUGAGGGAAAGAUGAAAAGCACUUUGGAAAGAGAGUGAAACAGUACGUGAAAUUGUUGAAAGGGAAACGCUUGAAGUCAGUCGCGUCGACCGAGACUCAGCCUUGCCUUGGCUUGGUGUACUUCUCGGCUGACGGGUCAGCAUCAAUUUUGUCCCUCGGAUAAUGAUAGGGGAAAGGUGGCACCCUUACAGGUGUGUUAUAGUCUUCUGUCGCAUGCGAGGGUCGGGAUUGAGGAACUCAGCACGCGCCUCUUGGUGUCGGGGCCUUUGGCUCACGUUACGUGCUUAGGAUGCUGGCGUAAUGGCUUUAAACGACCCGUCUUGAAACACGGACCAAGGAGUCUAACAUGCCCGCGAGUGUUCGGGUGGAAAACCCGUGCGCGUAAUGAAAGUGAAAGUUGGGACCUCUGUCGUGGAGGGCACCGACGCCCGGACCAGACCUUCUGUGACGGAUCUGCGGUAGAGCGUGCAUGUUGGGACCCGAAAGAUGGUGAACUAUGCCUGAAUAGGGUGAAGCCAGAGGAAACUCUGGUGGAGGCUCGUAGCGAUUCUGACGUGCAAAUCGAUCGUCAAAUUUGGGUAUAGGGGCGAAAGACUAAUCGAACCAUCUAGUAGCUGGUUCCUGC